rnacentral:misc_RNA from 1 species
GAGAGAGAGAGAGAGAGAGCAUAUAAUCGAGGUUACAAAGGCAUCUUCCACAUGCUCUUAGCAUAAUCCACUAGAUUAUUUUUACAUUCAAGACAACUAAUUUCACAAUAAAUGCAAGCAUAGCAUAGUUCCAAAGUCAAAAGGUAACAUAAUCAAUAACUUAUCAUAACAAUAUUCAUAACCUCAAUCAUAGUUGCCUAGAAUGUAGUACCCACGAGUCUUGGCAAGGGUAUGUGGUCCGCGGUACACCACUUAACGUAACAUAGUGUAACUAGUGGUAGGCUUGGUAUACAAAUUUGUUUCGGGGUAUGCAAAUUUUAUUUACUCGGUACUUGAAUUAUAUUUAUGUGUAAAAAAAAUUGAUUUAAUAUGAAUAAUCAAUAAAAAAUCAUAAAUUUUUACAUCACAAACACAUUAUUCCAA